rnacentral:rRNA from 1 species
GACGUAGGGCGCGAGCGUUGUCCGGAAUUACUGGGCGUAAAGCGCACGUAGGCGGAUUUGUAAGUCAGGGGUGAAAUCCCGGGGCUCAACCUCGGAACUGCCUUUGAUACUGCAAGUCUCGAGUCCGAUAGAGGUGAGUGGAAUUCCUAGUGUAGAGGUGAAAUUCGUAGAUAUUAGGAAGAACACCAGUGGCGAAGGCGGCUCACUGGAUCGGUACUGACGCUGAGGUGCGAAAGCGUGGGGAGCAAACAGG